rnacentral:rRNA from 1 species
AGUGAACGCUGGCGGCGUGCCUAACACAUGCAAGUCGAACGAGAACGGACUUAAGCUUGCUUAAGUUGUCAGCUAAGUGGCGCACGGGUGAGUAAUGUAUAGUUAACCUGCCCUCUAGAAAGGAAUAACAGUUGGAAACGACUGCUAAUGCCCUAUAUGCCUUUAAUUCAUAAGAAUGCAAGGGAAACGCUUUAGUGCUAGAGGAUGGGACUGUAUGGUAUCAGAUAGUUGGUGAGGUAAUGGCUCACCAAGUCAAUGACGCCUAACUGGUUUGAGAGGAUGAUCAGUCACACUGGAACUGAGACACGGUCCAGACUCCUACGGGAGGCAGCAGUGGGGAAUAUUGCGCAAUGGGCGAAAGCCUGACGCAGCCACGCCGCGUGAGCGAUGAAGGCCU